rnacentral:rRNA from 1 species
UACGUAGGGUGCAAGCGUUGUCCGGAAUUAUUGGGCGUAAAGAGCUCGUAGGCGGUUUGUCGCGUCGAAUGUGAAAACCCGGGGCUCAACUCCGGGCCUGCAUUCGAUACGGGCAGACUAGAGUUCGGUAGGGGAGUCUGGAAUUCCUGGUGUAGCGGUGAAAUGCGCAGAUAUCAGGAGGAACACCGGUGGCGAAGGCGGGACUCUGGGCCGAUACUGACGCUGAGGAGCGAAAGCGUGGGUAGCAAACAGG